AAGUUUGAUCCUGGCUCAGAUUGAACGCUGGCGGCAUGCCUUACACAUGCAAGUCGAACGGUAACAGGUCUUCGGACGCUGACGAGUGGCGAACGGGUGAGUAAUACAUCGGAACGUGCCCAGUCGUGGGGGAUAACUACUCGAAAGAGUAGCUAAUACCGCAUACGAUCUGAGGAUGAAAGCGGGGGACCUUCGGGCCUCGCGCGAUUGGAGCGGCCGAUGGCAGAUUAGGUAGUUGGUGGGAUAAAAGCUUACCAAGCCGACGAUCUGUAGCUGGUCUGAGAGGACGACCAGCCACACUGGGACUGAGACACGGCCCAGACUCCUACGGGAGGCAGCAGUGGGGAAUUUUGGACAAUGGGCGAAAGCCUGAUCCAGCAAUGCCGCGUGCAGGAUGAAGGCCUUCGGGUUGUAAACUGCUUUUGUACGGAACGAAAAAGCUCCUUCUAAUACAGGGGGCCCAUGACGGUACCGUAAGAAUAAGCACCGGCUAACUACGUGCCAGCAGCCGCGGUAAUACGUAGGGUGCGAGCGUUAAUCGGAAUUACUGGGCGUAAAGCGUGCGCAGGCGGUUAUGUAAGACAGAUGUGAAAUCCCCGGGCUCAACCUGGGAACUGCAUUUGUGACUGCAUGACUAGAGUACGGUAGAGGGGGAUGGAAUUCCGCGUGUAGCAGUGAAAUGCGUAGAUAUGCGGAGG
rnacentral:rRNA from 1 species